UUGCCGGUGGAAGCCCGAUCCGGGUAGCUGCGAGGAGACCCGGUAGCAGGCUGACGGCUCGGUCGGGUAACUGGCCGGGUCAGAGCCCAGCGUCGAAUGUAGAAGACGGAUACUCGGAAGGUGA
rfam:Frankia symbiont of Datisca glomerata, complete genome.